CACGUAGGGGGCAAGCGUUGUCCGGAUUUAUUGGGCGUAAAGAGCUCGUAGGUGGUUCGGUAAGUCGGGUGUGAAACCUCCAGGCUCAACCUGGAGACGCCACCCGAUACUGCUGUGACUGGAGUCCGGUAGGGGAGCGUGGAAUUCCUGGUGUAGCGGUGAAAUGCGCAGAUAUCAGGAGGAACACCAAUGGCGAAGGCAGCUCGCUGGGACGGUACUGACGCUGAGACGCGAAAGCGUGGGGAGCAAACAGG
rnacentral:rRNA from 1 species